rnacentral:rRNA from 1 species
AUUGAACGCUGGCGGCAGGCUUAACACAUGCCAGUCGAGCGGAGUGUUGGACGGGUAAGUAAUGCUUCGGAAUCUUCAUAUUAGUGUUGGACAACGUCCCGAAAUUGCUGCUAAUCCCUAAUACUAAUCGUUUAGCCUACGUCGGAUUAGCUAGUUGGUGGGUUCAAGGUCUACCAAGGCUACGAUCUGUAGCGGGUCUGAGAGGAUGAUCGGCCAAACUGGGACUGAGACACGGCCCAGACUCCUACGGGAGGCAGCAGUGGGGAAUAUGGGGAAAUGGGGGGAACCCUGAUCCAGCAAUGCCGCGUGUGUGAAGAAGGCCUUAUGGUUGUAAAGCACUUUAAGCGAGGAGGCGUUACUCGCAGAAUAAGCACCGGCUAACUCGGUGCCAGCAGCCGCGGUAAUAC